AUACGUAGGGUGCAAGCGUUAAUCGGAAUUACUGGGCGUAAAGCGUGCGCAGGCGGUUUUGUAAGACAGUGGUGAAAUCCCCGGGCUCAACCUGGGAACUGCCAUUGUGACUGCAAGGCUGGAGUGCGGCAGAGGGGGAUGGAAUUCCGCGUGUAGCAGUGAAAUGCGUAGAUAUGCGGAGGAACACCGAUGGCGAAGGCAAUCCCCUGGGCCUGCACUGACGCUCAUGCGCGAAAGCGUGGGGAGCAAACAGGAUUAGAUACCCUGGUAGUGCGUGCCCUAAACGAUGUCAUCUGGUUGUUGGGGAUGUGUUUCUCAGUAACGAAGCUAACGCGUGAAGUGGACCGCCUGGGGAGUACGGCCGCAAGGUUAAAACUCAAAGGAAGUGACGGGG
rnacentral:rRNA from 1 species